ACUCCUACGGGAGGCAGCAGUGGGAAUAUUGGACAAUGGGCGAAAGCCUGAUCCAGCCAUGCCGCGUGUGUGAAGAAGGCCUUCGGGUUGUAAAGCACUUUCAGUGAGGAAGAAAGCCUUGAGGUUGAAUACCCUUAGAGGGAGGACAUUCACUUCACAGAAGAAGCACCGGCUAAACUCCAGUGCCAGCGAGCCGCGGUAAUACGGAGGGUGCGAGCGUUAAUCGGAAUUACUGGGCGUAAAGCGC
rnacentral:rRNA from 1 species